rnacentral:rRNA from 1 species
UACGGAGGGUGCAAGCGUUAAUCGGAAUUACUGGGCGUAAAGCGUGCGCAGGCGGUUAUGUAAGACAGGUGUGAAAUCCCCGGGCUUAACCUGGGAACUGCAUUUGUGACUGCAUAGCUAGAGUACGGUAGAGGGGGAUGGAAUUCCGCGUGUAGCAGUGAAAUGCGUAGAUAUGCGGAGGGACACCGAUGGCGAAGGCAAUCCCCUGGACCUGUACUGACGCUCAUGCACGAAAGCGUGGGGAGCAAACAGG